CUCCUGAGUUCAAACAAUCCUCCUACCUCAGUCUCCUAAAGUGUCGAGACUACAGGCGUGAGCCACCAUGCCCGGACCAGGGUGAUCUUGAUUGUCACCGGAACCCAAAGGUGGAAUAAUAACAUGGACUUCCCAGUGUCUUGACAGUCUUCGCUAAUUUGAAUGGAACGCAGUCACUGGAUGAAGAUUUAUUUAGAACCAGGGGAGAGAGUGAAUUGCAGUCCCUAACUACCACAAAUAAUGCAGUUGCGUUUCCCACAUUUGGAGAAAUGGCCGGGGUCAGCCCAUCCGGAGUGCAGGGCGUGAGCCUCGCCCUGGGAAACCACCUUCGUGAUCGUGGUACCUCCCCUGUGGGUGAGGAUGUCAAGACUUGGAGUAGGUGACAGUUGGCCUUGGGCUUCGGUGGCCAGCCCAUGACUACAAAAGCCCAAGAAGCCAGUGAGUCCCCUGGCUCCCUCCACCAAGUGGCCUCUGGGUGAUGGGGAAGCUUGUCCUCUGCUUUGUCACACACAAAACUCUAAAAGUCAGGAUCCCAACGCAUCGGCCUGGAGAGACCGUGCAGAGCCGCAGCCCCACGUGACAGGUCUGCUAUCGCUCCAUCUUACAGAUGAAGAAACUGAGGCUCAGGGAAGAGAGAUAGCUGCUCACCGUCACACACUGUAAAUUCUUUGACACAGAAAUUUGGCCAGGGUGCUGAUUAGGACACUGAAGGACAAGGAAGAAUUUAUCCAUGGAGCGGGUAGAGUGAGCGCAAAUUCCAGAAAAAGGGAACCUCAUUGUCUGCGAAAGCCUGAUGGCAGGACAGUCCGUGACCGAUCCCAGCCCAGUUUCUCUGCAGACUCCUGCGCUUGUCAAUUAUACAGUGCCUUGGGUUAUUCCCAUGACCAGUAAGUUUGGGAAAUACUGGCUGCUGCAGGAAGCAUCGGUAACUGCUCUGGGAAAGCUGGACGGAGCUGAAAGGAAACGGUCUCGGAUCGCAUAUGGAAUUUAAACUUAAUACCCAAGCCUGUUGCUUCUUUUCUUUCUUUCUAGGGGAGAUGUCACAAAUUCUGCGCCAGAAUCUCACAAAUCACAAAUAACUUAUAUAACCAAACACCACCUGUUCCCCAAUAACCUAUGGAAAUAAAAAAAAUUAAACAAUAAAAAAUCAAAAAAUGAAA